UACGUAGGGGGCAAGCGUUGUCCGGAUUUAUUGGGCGUAAAGAGCGUGUAGGCGGUUAGGUAGGUCCGUUGUGAAAACUCGAGGCUCAACCUCGAGACGCCGAUGGAAACCAUCUAACUAGAGUCCGGAAGAGGAGAGUGGAAUUCCUGGUGUAGCGGUGAAAUGCGCAGAUAUCAGGGGGAACACCUGUGGCGAAAGCGGCUCACUGGACCACAACUGACGCUGAGGCGCGAAAGCUAGGGGAGCAAACAGG
rnacentral:rRNA from 1 species